GCCGACGUGGCGGAAUUGGCAGACGCGCUAGACUCAAAAUCUUGUUCCCUAACGGGAGUGUGGGUUCGAUUCCCUCCGUCGGCACCA
rnacentral:tRNA from 1 species